GACGAACGCUGGCGGCGUGCUUAACACAUGCAAGUCGAACGGAAAGGCCCUGCUUUUGUGGGGUGCUCGAGUGGCGAACGGGUGAGUAACACGUGAGUAACCUGCCCUUGACUUUGGGAUAACUUCAGGAAACUGGGGCUAAUACCGGAUAGGAGCUCCUGCUGCAUGGUGGGGGUUGGAAAGUUUCGGCGGUUGGGGAUGGACUUGCGGCUUAUCAGCUUGUUGGUGGGGUAGUGGCUUACCAAGGCUUUGACGGGUAGCCGGCCUGAGAGGGUGACCGGCCACAUUGGGACUGAGAUACGGCCCAGACGCCUACGGGAGGCAACAGUGGGGAAUAUUGCACAAUGGGCGGAAGCCUGAUGCAGCAACGCCGCGUGCGGGAUGACGGCCUUCGGGUUGUAAACCGCUUUCGCCUGUGACGAAGCGUGAGUGACGGUAAUGGGUAAAGAAGCACCGGCUAACUACGU
rnacentral:rRNA from 1 species